UACAUGUGGGGCAAGCGUUGUUCGGAAUUACUGGGCGUAAAGCGUGCGCAGGCGGUUUUGUAAGUCUGACGUGAAAUCCCCGGGCUCAACCUGGGAAUUGCGUUGGAGACUGCAAGGCUGGAGUCUGGCAGAGGGGGGUAGAAUUCCACGUGUAGCAGUGAAAUGCGUAGAGAUGUGGAGGAACACCGGUGGCGAAGGCAGCCCCCUGGGUCAAGACUGACGCUCAUGCACGAAAGCGUGGGGAGCAAACAGG
rnacentral:rRNA from 1 species